rnacentral:rRNA from 1 species
AUUGAACGCUGGCGGCAUGCCUUACACAUGCAAGUCGAACGGCAGCGGGCCUUCGGGUGCCGGCGAGUGGCGAACGGGUGAGUAAUGCAUCGGAACGUGCCAUUGAGUGGGGGAUAACGUAGCGAAAGUUGCGCUAAUACCGCAUAUUCUGUGAGCAGGAAAGCAGGGGACCGCAAGGCCUUGCGCUCUUUGAGCGGCCGAUGUCAGAUUAGCUAGUUGGUGAGGUAAAGGCUUACCUAGGCGACGAUCCGUAGCUGGUCUGAGAGGAUGAUCAGCCACACUGGAACUGAGACACGGUCCAGACUCCUACGGGAGGCAGCAGUGGGGAAUAUUGGACAAUGGGCGAAAGCCUGAUCCAGCCAUGCCGCGUGUGUGAAGAAGGCCUCGGUUGUAAGUACGACUUUAAGUACGGGGGAGGGAAGGGGACGUUCUGGCUAAUAUCCAGGAG